rnacentral:rRNA from 1 species
AGUGAACGCUUUCUUUCUUCCUAACACAUGCAAGUCGAGCGGCAGAACAGUACGUGCUCGCUGUUACGGCUGGGGAGGGGCGGACGGGUGCUGAAAACAUCGGUAUCUACGUUUUCGUGGGGGCGAACGUGGGGGAAAUUACGCUAAUACUGCAUACGGACUACGGGUGGAAGCAUGGGAUCUUCGGCUCUUGCGUGAUUGUAGGAGGCGAUGUCGGAUUAGCUAGUUGGUGGGGUAAAGGCGCACCAAGGCGACGAUCCGUAGCUGGUCUGAGAGGAUGAUCAGUCACACUGGAACUGAGACACGGUCCAGACUCCUACGGGAGGCAGCAGUGGGGAAUAUUGGACAAUGGGCGAAAGCCUGAUCCAGCCAUGCCGCGUGUGUGAAGAAGGCCUUCGGAUUGUAAAGCCCUUUUAGUUGGAAAGAAAAGCAGUAAGUUAAUACCCUGCUGUUUUGACGUUACCAACAGAAUAAGCAACGGCUAACUUCGUG